rnacentral:rRNA from 1 species
CGUAGGGUGCGAGCGUUAAUCGGAAUUACUGGGCGUAAAGCGUGCGCAGGCGGUUGUGUAAGUCAGAUGUGAAAUCCCCGGGCUCAACCUGGGAACUGCAUUUGAGACUGCACGGCUAGAGUGUAGCAGAGGGGGUAGAAUUCCACGUGUAGCAGUGAAAUGCGUAGAGAUGUGGAGGAAUACCGAUGGCGAAGGCAGCCCCCUGGGUUACUACUGACGCUCAUGCACGAAAGCGUGGGAGCAAACAGGAUU